rnacentral:tRNA from 2 species
GGUAAAAUGGCUGAGUUUAGGCAAUAAAUUGUAAAUUUAUGUACGAAAUUAAUAUUUCUUUUACCA